CUACAUGACUGUCAACAGCUUGACGAUGAAUCCGCGAGAAACAAGCAGAUGGUUGAUAGCGCUAACCGUGAUGGUGGGAAUCACCAACGGUCAAUCUGUGAACCUUGUUGGGCCAUCUGGGGUGCAACAAGGGGAUGAUGCGGUCUUCAUCUGUACCACAUCAGGUUUAAGCUCACCCACCAUCCUGUGGCGCGACGGAGCUACGAUCGUCUUCCUCGGGCCGAACUUUUCAGUCGGGAAGCCAAACACAGCAACUUUAAAGUGUCCUCCGAUGCCGUUUCCUCCAACCUGACUAUACAGGGAGCAGCAUUUGAAGAUGAUGGAUCCUACAGCUGUAGUGCGGCGGGUCUCGAUAGCGACACGAUUGAUCUCAAAGUGGAAGUGAAAUCAAAUGUGUCGCUGGCGGUGAUUACUACGACGAUCAACAAUACAAUUGUGUACCAAGCAGCUUGCGAGGCUAUCGGCGCUAGACCAGAGGAAAACGUAACCUGGACCUUAGGAAAUAUCACCCAGACUUUAGGCAUAGUGGAAACGGACCCCGAUGUUUCCCAUCACACCCUGUGGGACAAAAGAAGCGUGUUCACCUUCCCUGCAAACAAGGAGAACUACAACCAGAUGUUGACAUGCCAAGUCAACGGUCAUGAGGUUUCUGAACUCAACUGGCAGAAGUCAAUCCAACUGAAUU